UCCCCUUGUUUUCUGACUGCUGCCAGCACUUAUUCAUCCUAGCUCAGUCCUGCUGAAUUUCAAAGGACAUUUGAAUCACAACAUCGCCAUCUGGCUCUUUGGCAGGAGAGGGAAGGGUUCAGCAGAGUCCAGUCAGCUGCCGAGCUUUGUUGUUCUAGUCAGGUGAUAAAAAAAGAGAAUUCGUCAUGCGAUAGGCCGAACCGGAGGAAUCCCAGGCUACCCUAGGAUCUCAUAAAUGUUAUUCACCACCAUUUUGAAGCAUUAAUAGUGGUAUGGUCCUGAAUCAGAAGAUUGCAAACAAGCUUCCUAGAGUUUUCUAUGAACAGGAUUCUCUUCAGGGCCCACAACUGCUAGAAGCAAAAUUGCCUUCUUCACCAUGGGACACAUGGAGUUUUGAUGUUUCUUCAGCCUUUAUUGAGGAGAGCCAUUGAUUCUGUGGGUCUCGUUAAGUUGGAAGAGCACUGAGGCCCAAAACUGCUGGUAAGGGAAGAUGAAAUUAGGUUAGCAGGGCAUACAAGGAGAUAUAUUUAAUUAUUUGGGAAAGCUGAGCAUCUGGAAUAAGAUGGCUUAU
rnacentral:lncRNA from 1 species